CACUCAUGUCAGAACGCAAUAAUGAUAGAUGUAAUACAUUUCAGAUGAUGAAUUAAUCAACCGUUGGUUACGAAAUAGUACAUAUAUAUAUAGCCAGCAAAUUAAACGACCAUCAAUCCACGAACCGUACGUUUUACAAUCAGAUUAAUUAGCACGCAAGACCAGCAUUUGCAAUCAGCACGGUCGAUGGAUGGCAUUUGCUAUCGAGAACGGCGAUGCGAUGCUGCUCCUCUCUUCUUCCUCCUUCACCCUGUUCAUGUCGCUAGAGCUAGCUAGUAAGCUAGGUCAUGGCAUACGUACGUACGGAUUUUACUGAAGGUAGUACGCGAGGAAG
rnacentral:lncRNA from 1 species